rnacentral:tRNA from 3 species
GGGCGAGUAACUCAGUUGGUUAGAGUGCAUCCCUUACAAGGAUGAAGUCGGGGGUUCGAGUCCCUCUUCGCCCACCA